UAGUAAUCCUGGGUCUGUUUGAACAUUGUCUGUCCUGCAGGUGCUGGAGGCGAACAUGUGGCUGGUGUCGGGAGACACCACCAGCCUCAUGGGGACAGGAAGCUGAAGGUGGUCCAACUGUCCGCGCUGAUCAGUGUCCUCAGACUCCCCCCCAACGCUGAGGCCUGUCCCAUGGAGAACAUGUCAGCAUUUUGUGUGGAGACGCGGGACAGGACCAUGGUGUUUGCUGUGCUCAAAGAUGAUUGCGUGGAGUGGGUCGAAAAACUUUGUCCCAGCACGUUUCAGAAAGGUGACGGCUCAGGUUCUACUCAGAUUGAAAUGGAGGAGAACCAGAUAUACGUCUCAGUAGAUGAAGGUAAGACUUCUGU